UCUCAGUUUCUUCCCUGUGCUAGUCAGAUGGCUGCCUUGCUUGCAGCUGCUUGUAAAUGCUGUGCCUUGCUUUUUGAAGUUCUUAAAAUUACUCAGUGCUGCUCUUUUUGUGAAGAUGAGAAAUCUCUCAGCUGCUUCUAAAAUGUAGAUUUUUUCAAAGUCUUUCCUGUCAGUAUUGUAUGAUGACCCAGGAAAGUUGGUAAGCUGGUAGGUUUCUGGCUCCUGUUGAACAAAGAGUCCUCUGCAAUGUCAGUGGCCUUGCAGCUACAACGUGGCAUGCUUAUGGCCUGUGGUUCAGGGAGUAAACCCCAACUGGCACUUGUUUUGAGUGAUUGAUACGAGCUGAUCACAGUUUCUUAUUUUCAGCAUUUGCUAUAAGUAGUAGUAGAUACCAGAUCAGAUCUCCCAUCAUUACUGCUGCCCUUCUGUGCAGGUACUGUGUGAACCUCAGUCUAACCUUGCUUGCACUUCUACAUUUCUGCUCUUGAUCUGAUCAUCAAAGCCUAGCUAUGGGGACAAUGUGGUGAGAUGAUGAAGAAGUUGAGGGGAACUUAUGUUACUUACAGAAUAAGCCUGUGCAAACAGUGGAGUCUGAUGUCUUGGUGUCCAGUUUUGGAGAACUUUGAUGAAUUUGUGGCAGAAUCACAUACAAGGGAUUCAAAUGUGACAUGUAAAUGUCAUGGUCUAAAUUUGUGUUGCCCUUGGGAACUUUCUUCUCCAACUGUGACUUUUAUUCUCUCUGUCUAAGGUUUGGGAUCAUAAAACUGCUUCUGUCAGAAGAGAUUUUUCAGUUUAGAAAAGAGGCAAUGGCUGAGAAUUCAUUGGAGGAAAUUUCUUAAUGAAUGGCAUGCAAAAAGCAAAUGUGAUCGCUGAUUUUCUAAUUAUCAUUGUGUAAAAACAGCAAACAUUGAGGAGACAUUUAAAACAAACAAAACGUAUUAUUUUUCAUGAAACAUGAAGUCUGGAACUCUACUGCGGGACAUUUUAGAGGUCAAAAUUUAAAUACAUUCAAAAGGAAGAUGUGGAGUAUAGGCAUAUCAGGGGCUGUUAAACAUUACAGCCCAGAUGAAAGAUCCCACUCAGGAAGCCCUUAAACUGCUGACUUCUAAAAGCUAGAGGAGCAUACAGGGAAGUCUGUGUUUGUCAUGUUCUCAUGUUCUUUUCUCAAGCACUGUAGUAGUCACUGUCAGAGGAGAGUGGAUUUGGAAAGUCUAACUCUUUGAUACACUAUGAUUGUUCAUAUGCUGAGGUUCAGUUAAGUGUUGUGACAGACUAGCUCCUGUAGUUUGUCAGAGAGGACAGGUGGCACUUCAUUAUUGUGGCUUUGUGGAUAGUAGCUGGAAUUGCAAACUUCUCAGUGGUGUUUUCUGGGACCCUUGAAAAGCUUAGGUUAUAGUAAGUUCUCACUGUGGUCCAGGGAACCACUAUUGCAUUUUUACUGGGUCAGCUGUGGUUUGUAGUAUGUAACUCUUACAGUGUGGUCACUUUUUUAUUUUAAGAGUGGCUGUUGUUGCUGAAAAGUGGGUGUGAAGUGGGAUUUUACAAUGAACUUGUGGAUUGAAACCUUUUGUUGCUAGUUGUUAAAGUAGUUUUAUCUUCUCAGAUCUGUUUGCUAGUAGUCCAGGAAAAGAAGUGUGCUAAGUAGCUCCUGAAUAGUGCAUGUCAGUAUUGAUGGACUGAGAGAUACCCUUACUAGAUCUGGCAGUGAUGGACAGUGUUCCUUGAGCUGGGUUUUUUAACAGCACAGAGUCUGUUCCAUCAUGUCAGACUUGAACUUAAACCAGCAGGCUUUCAUCCAGCCUUUAUUUGUGCCAGCUUUGGAAAGAGUAAAUAAAGAGCUAUAUCCAGACUGUUACUUGAGGACCAUGCUGGGAGAUGGCUUUGUUCUGUCUCAGUUGUCCCUUGCUCUCAGACUAAUUAUUGUGCAAGUGUAUGCAUCAAAUGACACUUACCAUCUGCUGCCAAAUCCUUGGGAUUCUCUCUGGAAAGCUAGUGCGUGGAAUAUUUGACCUCCCCAACACCACAUGUGUGAUCUGUGCUGUGACUCACUAGGGAGGGCCACAGUUGGAGGGAGUAAUACAUACAGCCCUCUUCACUGCAGAGUAUCCCUCACAGCAGUGAAGGAUCAGGCUUUGGUCUCUGCUGCUCUAAAUAUAGCCCUUUGCUGCUAGCAGCACAGUGAAACUGGCUGUGUUUGCCUCACUCCCACUGUGCUCUAGCUGUUUUUUCUGGUGCAGUAAGAGAAGUACUUUUCACAGAUGUAUGACAAGGGCAUAUCCUGAGGAAAGGAGAAGAAAAUUGGAUGCCUGGGAGAGCAAAUGGUGUGGUUGUCAUCACAAGCUGAUGGGACGAAAGUUUGCUUGUGGGACUACUAUGCCCAGUCCUUUCCUGGAGGAAGAUGAGCUGCAGUAUUGUGAUUCAAGUGUGCAUAUAAUGAAAUCUUUGAAAUUGGCAAAUUGGCAAAAGGUGAACAUAAAUUGAGAGAAGGAUGGAUGUGCAGGAACACAAUAAGGGAAUGAUGGUGUUUCUGAAUCCACGACCCAAUGCCUGAUCUAUAAAUAACUGUGGAAACAACAAAGGAAACAAGUUUUAGUUUAAGCAGUCAUUUGUAUAUUUGUGCAAAGGUGACAAUUAGCUGCUAAGACUGUUAGAAGUAAUAUGCCUUUCUGUCCCUAAAUGUUUUGAGAUUCCCUGCAGCCAUAAUAAAACAAAGGCAAAUUA